rnacentral:lncRNA from 1 species
AGACUCGGGCCGAGGCCGCGUCGGAGGCCCAAUGCGAAGACCGAGCUCUGCAACGCAGUCAGCCAGCCUGCCGGCCGGCCGGAAUCCUGAACGCGCCGCUGGGGCUACGCAGUCCCAGCUCCCGGCUCCUUUCCCUUCCUGAUGAUGGCACACAUCGCCCCCAUCCGCAAGCCCCGCUGCACCGCUCUUUUGGUCCAAAGAACUGAUCUCUUUGGGCAGCCCUCAAAACCAACUUGAAUAACCAGAAAAUGCCCGCGGCGUGCAAACUUGGUUUUAUAAGGCUGAGCUUUCUGCUGCGUCUUCUUGCUGAGAUCAGAGGAGUAAAGAGACCGACUUAAAGAAAACCAUCUUAGUGUAGGACCCUCCCCCACCUCCGUGUAGGCAUCUUGGAAAAAGACUCCGGAAUAGACUGGUACUCCAGGUGAGGGAUGGACGCUUCUAGCCCCGGGCUUCUCUCAGCCACUGGAAGCGCUUACCUGUCCGUCUGAACUAUGUCCAACAGUCCCACGUAGUGGUUGUUACCUCUCCAAAUUAAGGCUAAUCUUUAAUAAGUGCAAGUGAUUUGUUUAUUUGAAUAAAUACUAGUGUCAUUUGUU